CCUACGGGAGGCAGCAGUGGGGAAUCUUGCGCAAUGGGCGAAAGCCUGACGCAGCCAUGCCGCGUGAAUGAUGAAGGUCUUAGGAUUGUAAAAUUCUUUCACCGGGGACGAUAAUAACGGUACCCGGAGAAGAAGCCCCGGCUAACUUCGUGCCAGCAGCCGCGGUAAUACGAAGGGGGCUAGCGUUGCUCGGAAUUACUGGGCGUAAAGGGAGCGUAGGCGGACAUUUAAGUCAGGGGUGAAAUCCCAGAGCUCAACUCUGGAACUGCCUUUGAUACUGGGUGUCUUGAGUGUGAUAGAGGUAUGUGGAACUCCGAGUGUAGAGGUGAAAUUCGUAGAUAUUCGGAAGAACACCAGUGGCGAAGGCGACAUACUGGAUCAUUACUGACGCUGAGGCUCGAAAGCGUGGGGAGCAAACAGGAUUAGAUACCCUGGUAGUCCACGCCGUAAACGAUGAUUGCUAGUUGUCGGGGUGUUUACAUCUCGGUGACGCAGCUAACGCAUUAAGCAAUCCGCCUGGGGAGUACGGUCGCAAGNUUAAAACUCAAAGGAAUUGACGG
rnacentral:rRNA from 1 species